GGGCGCUUAGCUCAGCUGGGAGAGCACCUGCCUUACAAGCAGGGGGUCAUAGGUUCGAGCCCUGUAGCGCCCACCA
rnacentral:tRNA from 1 species